rnacentral:misc_RNA from 1 species
AAUUUUCUAGCUACGCAUUCUUGAACUCUGCCAUGAUCCCGAAUAUAAGCAGCCAGAUCCCCUCCAUCACAAAACUCCAAGACAAGGAAAAUAGAGUUUUCAGCCUGAAAUACAUCGAAAAGGCGAAUGAUAUUUGGGUGUUUAACAGAAGAUAAAAAGCUGAGUUCACAGUCCAAACAACUCUUGAGUUGGCGAGUGAGCUUGAGGAGGUCGAUUUGCUUCAACGCCACCACUUUUCCGGUGGUCCGGUGCUCGGCUUUCCAUACCGUCGACGAUGAGCCACCGCCGAGCUUACACGUCAGCGUGUACUCUCCGAUCGUUGGACGAUCAGCUUCCAUUUGUAUAUAUUCUCACUGCGCUUUUCCGUUGGGAAAUUAUAUUAGGAAGCUCCUCG